rnacentral:rRNA from 1 species
GACAGAGGUGCCGAGCGUUAGGCGGAAUCACUGGGCUUAAAGCGUGUGUAGGCGGGCGGGCAAGUACCUUGUGAAAUCCCACGGCUCAACCGUGGAACGGCUGGGUAUACUGCCUGUCUUGAGCCAACUAGGGGCGAGCGGAACAGACGGUGGAGCGGUGAAAUGCGUAGAGAUCGGGAAGAACACCAGUGGCGAAGGCGGCCGGCUGGGGGCGCCCUGACGCUGAGGCGCGAGAGCGUGGGGAGCGAACCGG